AUCCUGGCUCAGAAUGAACGUUGGCGGCGUGGAUUAGGCAUGCAAGUCGAGCGCUCAUAGCAAUAUGGGAGCGGCGAACGGCGUAGGAAUUCAUAGGAACGUACCCUCAGGUCGGGGAUAGCUACGGGAAACUGUAGGUAAUACCCGAUGAUCUCUGCGGAGCAAAGGUGUGAUUCCGCCUGAGGAGCGGCUUAUGUGAUAUUAGCUAGUUGGUGGGGUAAUGGCCUACCAAGGCGAAGAUGUCUAGGGGGUGUGAGAGCAUGGCCCCCCACGACCGGAACUGAGAUACUGUCCGGACACCUACGGGUGGCUGCAGUCGAGAAUCUUCCGCAAUGGACGAAAGUCUGACGGAGCGACGCCGCGUGCGGGGAUGAAGGCCCUUGGGGUUGUAAACCGCUUUUCGGGAGGGGAUGGAAAUCCUCGAGGGUACUCCCUCGAGGUUGAC
rnacentral:rRNA from 1 species